UACGUAGGGUGCGAGCGUUAUUCGGAAUUACUGGGCGUAAAGGGUGCGCAGGCGGCUUGGCACGUCGGGGGUGAAAUCCCCGAGCUUAACUUGGGAAUUGCGCUCGAAACUACGGAGCUGGAGUGUGGCAGAGGAAGGUGGAAUUCCACGUGUAGCGGUGAAAUGCGUAGAGAUGUGGAGGAACACCGAUGGCGAAGGCAGCCUUCUGGGCCAACACUGACGCUCAUGCACGAAAGCGUGGGGAGCAAACAGG
rnacentral:rRNA from 1 species